CAGCGUGGAACGGGGGCGACGAGGGUCGCAGGGUCGCCGGCUCCCCCUUCCCCCGCCGGGGACCCCCACGGCACAGGGGGCCGCACAGAAGCCCCCAGCGUCCAGGGCCGGGGGAGGGUCCGCCUGCACCCCCGGGCCCGCGUGGUCCGGCCCUGCAGGGCGGGAGGCGCGGCGCGGGGCGGGGCCGGUGACGGGACGCGGAGACCCCGCGGGCGGCGGGAGGGGCGCGAGGCGCGCGUUUGCACCCGAGCCCGGCCCGCGCCCCGCUGCGGAGCGAUGCCGCUCGGCCUGGCAGCCCCCCGCGAGCACCGCGCUGGAGACGAAGCCCGCGCGUGACCCCGCUCCGGGUGACCUCAAAGCAGCAGCUCUGAAUUCGCCUCUCAUCUGACGACUGACCGCUGCUGCCGCCGCCAGCCUCUGUCCCCUUCCCAGGCCUGUCACACAGCUGCCUCUCAGCAGGGGCAGUAGAAUAAAAGAGGGCAUGUCUAAUAACAGCACCACUAGCAUCUCCCAAGCCAGGAAAGCUGUGGAACAGCUAAAGAUGGAAGCCUGUAUGGACAGGGUCAAGGUCUCCCAGGCAGCUGCGGACCUCCUGGCCUACUGUGAAGCUCACGUGCGGGAAGACCCUCUCAUCAUUCCAGUGCCUGCGUCAGAAAACCCCUUUCGCGAGAAGAAGUUCUUUUGUACCAUUCUCUAACUUCAUGUGUGAUGAAAACGCCUCCUUUUCUGACCUUCAAAGUCCCCUGUAGAGACCAUGCAUGCUCUAAGCCUUAGGGAGUGAGCCAACACCCAUCCCUGCCCAGCCAAUGGUGGCCAGGGCUUGUCUUAUGUUUUCAUCUGUUUUCUUCGUGGCAUUCAAUUUCAUGUUUUUCCUUUUCAUUUUCAUGUUAUUUUCAUUAUUGGCAAAGAAAAUCAAAAUUGUUAUAGCCAAAUAACAAAUGUGCCAUGUAAAAAUAAGUCUGGAGUUAAGAGUUUAAAAUUUUUAAACAUCAAUUUCCAAGUGUAUAUCAUAUUAAUACAUUUCAGGGGAUAACUUAUUUAAAAAAAAAAACAUGCCUAAAUAUCUCUUAUUUGCAAUAUUCAGUAUCAAAUGAGAGCAUUUUGGCCAACUGAAACAUAUAACGUUCUCAUCUCCUUUCCUGGAGAAAGCAGUUGCAGAGGUUCUCUAGUUCCUGCAUUUCCGUCAUCCUAGUGAAAAGACAAC